rnacentral:rRNA from 1 species
GAUGAACGCUAGCGGUAUGCUUAACACAUGCAAGUCGUACGGGAGUUUUUAACUCAGGUGGCGGACGGGUGAGUAACACGUGAGAAUUUACCUUUAGGAGGGGAUAACAAUUGGAAACGAUUGCUAAUACCCCAUAUGCUUUUUUAAAGUGAAACGGAUUUAUUCGCCUAAAGAAAAGCUCGCGGCUGAUUAGCUAGUUGGUAAGGUAAUGGCUUACCAAGGCGACGAUCAGUAUCUGGUUUGAGAGGAUGAUCAGACACACUGGAACUGAGACACGGUCCAGACUCCUACGGGAGGCAGCAGUGGGAAUUUUCCGCAAUGGCGAAAGCCUGACGGAGCAAUACCGCGUGAGGGAAGAAAGCCUACUGGGUUGUAAACCUCUUUUUUCAGGGUAGGAAAAAAAUGACGUGUACCUGAAGAAUAAGACAUCGGCUAACUCCGUGCCAGCA